rnacentral:rRNA from 4 species
CGACCCCAGGUCAGGCG